GAUGAACGCUGGCGGCGUGCCUAAUACAUGCAAGUCGAGCGAACAGACGAGGAGCUUGCUCCUCUGACGUUAGCGGCGGACGGGUGAGUAACACGUGGAUAACCUACCUAUAAGACUGGGAUAACUUCGGGAAACCGGAGCUAAUACCGGAUAAUAUAUUGAACCGCAUGGUUCAAUAGUGAAAGACGGUUUUGCUGUCACUUAUAGAUGGAUCCGUGCAGCAUUAGCUAGUUGGUAAGGUAACGGCUUACCAAGGCAACGAUGCGUAGCCGACCUGAGAGGGUGAUCGGCCACACUGGAACUGAGACACGGUCCAGACUCCUACGGGAGGCAGCAGUAGGGAAUCUUCCGCAAUGGGCGAAAGCCUGACGGAGCGACGCCGCGUGAGUGAUGAAGGUCUUCGGAUCGUAAAACUCUGUUAUUAGGGAAGAACAAAUGUGUAAGUAACUAUGCACGUCUUGACGGUACCUAAUCAGAAAGCCACGGCUAACUACGUGCCAGCAGCCGCGGUAA
rnacentral:rRNA from 1 species